AUUGAACGCUGGCGGCAGGCCUAACACAUGCAAGUCGAACGGUAGCACAGAGAGCUUGCUCUCGGGUGACGAGUGGCGGACGGGUGAGUAAUGUCUGGGAAACUGCCCGAUGGAGGGGGAUAACUACUGGAAACGGUAGCUAAUACCGCAUAACGUCGCAAGACCAAAGUGGGGGACCUUCGGGCCUCACACCAUCGGAUGUGCCCAGAUGGGAUUAGCUAGUAGGUGGGGUAAUGACUCACCUAGGCGACGAUCCCUAGCUGGUCUGAGAGGAUGACCAGCCACACUGGAACUGAGACACGGUCCAGACUCCUACGGGAGGCAGCAGUGGGGAAUAUUGCACAAUGGGCGCAAGCCUGAUGCAGCCAUGCCGCGUGUAUGAAGAAGGCCUUCGGGUUGUAAAGUACUUUCAGCGGGGAGGAAGGCGGUGAAGUUAAUAACUUCACCGAUUGACGUUACCCGCAGAAGAAGCACCGGCUAACUCCGUGCCAGCCGCGGUAACAC
rnacentral:rRNA from 1 species